CAAAUGUCUCUGAAUUCUCUCAAACACACGCUUCUGCAACACCUAACACAUACCCAUCACUCCCAAUACACACGCCGUUCUGAAAACACAUUCUUACACAAGCUAACAUAUACAGCCUCUAAACACGAGAUGGAUACAGCUUUUUGGCCAACUCCUUCCUCGUGUGGCAUCGGCUUUGGAGGAGCCCACAUGUGUAUUUCAUUUGGACCCAUGGGUGGCAGAUCACAUGACCUGGGCUGGACUGAUCAGCACAUCUGGUCCCCCAGUCCCCAGAGAUCGAUUGAGGGCACAUGAGCAGAGAGGGCCAGAGAGACUCCAUUCUGGGUCUUAUACUUUUGUCUCUUCCCUUUGUUUCUUGUUUAAAGACACUUUAAGGAUCCAAAAGGAGCCUAACUAAUACAAAAUCCUUUAAUGUCUUCCCAUUGCCUUCAGUAUAAAGUCCAAGCCCUUUAAACUGGCCUUGAAGGCGGCUCUAGGAUGGCAAGUGACACAAGCUAAGCCAAUGAGAAUCAGCCCUGGGACUUCAGCUGGAACCAACAGGAAAGAGACCCUUCCUUCCUUCCUUCCUUCCCUCCCUCCCUCCCUCCUUUCUUUCUGAAAGUCCUCUUAUUCUUGGUCCCACAGGCCUUCCCAAGGUGACUUUCAGAGUGUUUUUGGACUGCAUAAUUUCAAGGCCUCUCUGCCCUGGCUACGCCUCCUGAUUCCAAGUCAUCAAGUUUUAAAUGUUUUCCCAAAGAUGGUUUUUUCUUUGCAACAGCCUCUCAGAUGUGUCUCCUUAGCUUGUUGUUGUUUUUGCUUAGUUUUGUUUUGGUUCCCACUGUGAUGGUCAGACCAUGCCAGGCUGUAGUUGGAGGAGGGACCCUGUAUGCUAGGUUGGUGAGGCUCAUGGAGGCUCCAUCGUCUUGUGAUGCCAUCAGAUCACGUGGCUUCUCUGGUAGCAAGAGGGAGCUGUGUGUCACCAAGGUUUCCAUGCUGGAAAGUGAUCCUUCAGGCUAUCUUGUUUCUUUCUCCGGUUCUGCCCUUUCCCUUCCACUGCUGCCCUGUGGCCAGGAGGCUGCCCCACACAGACCAAUCAACAGGCUCCCUUGGUCCUCGGCUUUCUUGGGUUUUAUCAAAGAGGUACUGGCAGGGAUUAGAGGCAAGGAAAAGAGCACAAUCAGAGUGUCUCUCAGCUGAAGGUGGAGGCUUUUUUGCAUUUCGCAGCCGGUGCCUAUAACUUCGCAAGAUCCUUCCAUGCUUUGGCCCCAUCACCAUGUCAUUUUGUCACUGGGAUAUUUUUGGUGUAAUAUAUUGUGUACAUUUCCUGCUUGUACCCUCUCUAGGCUUGGCAGCUGCUCCUCCUUCGCCCCUCAGGUUGGAGGUGGUAAUGGCUCCCCACUGACACUGGCCCCCGGGAGCUGAGCCAUCCUUGUGGGAUCUGUUCACGCUGCCCAUGCCUUGAUGUAGCUCUCCUCAAAUGGGCCAGAUAAAGUGGCCCAUGGAUUUUCCGAGAGGUGAAGCAGCAUGUGGCAUUUCUAGAACUUAUUUGAUCAUGCACCUUUCGAUGUGGAACAUCAAGGGGGUGUUCCGAGGAAGUGCAGGUGUGUUGGCCAGAGUCUAGACUAGAUUUCCAUACAUCCAGCCCUUCCUUUUCUUCAAGCACAGCCCAAAUACCACCCCCUUGCUGGGCCCUGCAUGGGUGACCUCGCACCCCAGGGCCCCAUAUCUGGCUGAUGCUAGAUCAUCCUGAAUGUGACGUUGUUACAGGGAAAUCUUUGAAUCAACCCUAAUUUGCUUAAAAAAAAAAAAAAACAAAUCACACAUUCCCAAGGAUGACUUCUGUGCGUGGUAGCACCCCUGUGUGCAGGGAGAGUCUCUGCUUGUGUGCUGUCUCCCCAGCCAUGCUGGGAGCCCCUCAAGGUCAAGUCUUUGUGCCUCUAACAUCCAGUGUGGGGUUCGGCUGCAUGCAUGAGGUCCUGUGUAUGCUAAGCAGGACCUCCCGUUCUCUCGAAUCCUGCACUGGGCUGAGUUGAGGGCAGUAAGAUGCCCAUCUGAGGCUCAGGCAAGUUUCCUGGAGUAUGUGUAACUCUGAUGGAAGAGCGCUGGACUUGAUGUCCUACAGACCCAGCUUCAAAUCCCAGCUUUAGUGGCGGCUAAGGAAAAGGCCACAGGUGCAGCGUGGGCAGGAGGGUCAGACCUUAGUGCCCUCACGAAGGUCUCGCCCUGAUUGAUUUCAGAAGGUGAGGGGACAGGCCAUCUGCAUCUUUCAGAUUGUUGGGGAUGAAGCCAGAGGGGUGGAAGCCAGGAGGAACACAAAUGACUCCCCUUUCCUGGGACCCAGGCCCACCCAUCCUGGGUUUCCCUCAAAGUCCUGGGAUUCUAGGAGAAAACUUUGCCCUUAGCAGCCCAAAGGCCUGGGUGUAAGUUCUGCCUCUGUUAUCUGACAGCCACGUGACCUUGGGCACAUCACUCAUCCAUUUAUCCCACAAAUAUCCCUCGGGCUCUUUCUCUGUGCCAGGCAGUGUGCCAGGCCCGUGGAACUAGUACCAAUGAGUCCCCGCCCUUAAGAGACUCACAGUCCAGUAGGAGCAAAGAUACUACCUAAGCAUGCAAAGACAAGAUAAUUUCAGGCAAUGCUCUGAAGAAAAUAACACACAGUGAGG
rnacentral:lncRNA from 1 species